CGAACUUUCCAGAGAUGGAUUGGUGCCUUCGGGAACGCUGAGACAGGUGCUGCAUGGCUGUCGUCAGCUCGUGUUGUGAAAUGUUGGGUUAAGUCCCGCAACGAGCGCAACCCUUAUCCUUUGUUGCCAGCGAUUCGGUCGGGAACUCAAAGGAGACUGCCGGUGAUAAACCGGAGGAAGGUGGGGAUGACGUCAAGUCAUCAUGGCCCUUACGAGUAGGGCUACACACGUGCUACAAUGGCGCAUACAAAGAGAAGCGACCUCGCGAGAGCAAGCGGACCUCAUAAAGUGCGUCGUAGUCCGGAUCGGAGUCUGCAACUCGACUCCGUGAAGUCGGAAUCGCUAGUAAUCGUGGAUCAGAAUGCCACGGUGAAUACGUUCCCGGGCCUUGUACACACCGCCCGUCACACCAUGGGAGUGGGUUGCAAAAGAAGUAGGUAGCUUAACCUUCGGGAGGGCGCUUACCACUUUGUGAUUCAUGACUGGGGUGAAGUCGUAACAAGGUAGGCGUAGCGAG
rnacentral:rRNA from 1 species